UCCAUCUCUGGGUCUGUAUGCUGACAGUCACCUUACUGUAGGGAAAUGUUCAUAACCCUGGUGCUGGAGGAGAUGGGGACCUGAUCCUCAGAGGUGAGAGGGGAAGGUUCCUGCUGAGCACAGACCUCCAGCCUGGCAUUGGCUCUCUCCCUGCACACCUCCUUCUCCUGCCUGCUGCCCCUUCUCUGGUCUGCAGUCACAAUUCUGAAAACUCUAUGGGGACCGGGACUUCCCUGGUCUCUCACAGCUUUUCCUCUCACAGGUGGAGAAGAAAGCAACUAUGUUCCUGCUGCAGGUCAGUGUGUCAGGGAAGAAUCCUCCCUGAGGCACUGGAGUGGAGGCUGAGCUGAUGGUUUCUCCUCCAGCCCCACCUGUCAAUCUCCUGACUGUGUCUGGUUAUUUCUACUACAGCCAGGGACAAUGCCCAGAGCUCUCUCUUGUCUCUGGAGGCCUGAAAGCUGCCUUGUGGGCCUGAGCGACCAGUUCUGACUUAAGAACAAACAAAUUCUCUGUGGACAGCAAUGUCUGAGGGUUUCUGCUUUUCCUGUGCACACAAUGAGAAAAGAUUGGGGGGCCAAUCUCAGCCCUGUCCAGCAGGACCCUUCCCCUGCACGUUCCCUGCUCCCUUCCUCAGCCAACCGUCCUGCCCAGCCACAGGCAGGAGGGGACAUCUCUAUUCUUGCCACCUCCAUCUGCCCUGAGUUCCAGCCAUCGUCUUCCCCUCUGAACAUAAAAAUCAAAUGUGCACUUGAUGGUUCAUGUCCUUAACUGAGAGACUGGCAGUCAAGUUAAAGGAGAGAAUUCUGCAAGUGUGAUGUAGGAAUUAAAUGACAGCAAGGAGAACCUUC